rnacentral:tRNA from 1 species
GUGGGGAUAGCUCAGUGGUAGAGUGCAUACCUAGCAUGCAUGAGGUCCUGGGUUCAAUCCCCAGCACCUCCA